rnacentral:rRNA from 1 species
CUGCGGAGGGAUCAUUAUAAGUUCACCCAGGCUUGUACAGCUGGGGACUGACAACCCUUUGAUUUCCGACUCUGUUGCCUCCGGGGCGACCCUGCCUUCGGGCGGGGGCUCCGGGUGGACACUUCAAACUCUUGCGUAACUUUGCAGUCUGAGUAAACUUAAUUAAUAAAUUAAAACUUUUAACAACGGAUCUCUUGGUUCUGGCAUCGAUGAAGAACGCAGCGAAAUGCGAUAAGUAAUGUGAAUUGCAGAAUUCAGUGAAUCAUCGAAUCUUUGAACGCACAUUGCGCCCCCUGGUAUUCCGGGGGGCAUGCCUGUUCGAGCGUCAUUUCACCACUCAAGCCUCGCUUGGUAUUGGGCAACGCGGUCCGCCGCGUGCCUCAAAUCGUCCGGCUGGGUCUUCUGUCCCCUAAGCGUUGUGGAAACUAUUCGCUAAAGGGUGUUCGGGAGGCUACGCCGUAAAACAACCCCAUUUCUAAGGUUGACCUCGGAUCA